rnacentral:misc_RNA from 1 species
GGAGAAUUCAAGCAAGAAGAGUCUGAGGUAGAUGUUUUAUCACAAAUAUAGCCAUUAGAAACAGGUAGAUCUAAAGAAUCCGCAACUUUUUCCAUCUGAUGGGAGGCUUCGGAAGUAGCUUUUACCGAACCAGUUGAAUCACACAUCAAAGCAAACGUCAUUUCACUUGAAGCAAUUGUUUCCUUUCCUGCAGGCACUUCAAGUGUGUCACAUUCAUUUCUAUCUUGCCAAUCUACAGAGGAUGUCUCCUGGCAAACCUUGUCAACAGAAUCGGAGUCAUUAUUCAGACGCUUAACCUCUCCUUU